AGUGAACGCUGGCGGUAGGCCUAACACAUGCAAGUCGAACGGCAGCACAGUAAGAGCUUGCUCUUACGGGUGGCGAGUGGCGGACGGGUGAGGAAUACAUCGGAAUCUACUUUUUCGUGGGGGAUAACGUAGGGAAACUUACGCUAAUACCGCAUACGACCUACGGGUGAAAGCAGGGGAUCUUCGGACCUUGCGCGAUUGAAUGAGCCGAUGUCGGAUUAGCUAGUUGGCGGGGUAAAGGCCCACCAAGGCGACGAUCCGUAGCUGGUCUGAGAGGAUGAUCAGCCACAGGGGAGCUGAGACACGGUCCAGCAUCCUACGGGAGGCAGGAGUGGGGAAUAUUGGACAAUGGGCGCAAGCCUGAUCCAGCCAUACCGCGUGGGUGAAGAAGGCCUUCGGGUUGUAAAGCCCUUUUGUUGGGAAAGAAAAGCAGCAGGUUAAUCCCGCGCUGUUCGGACGGUACCCAAAGAAUAAGCACCGGUUAACUUCGU
rnacentral:rRNA from 1 species